CAAUAGCGUAUAUUAAAGUUGUUGCGGUUAAAAGCUCGUAGUUGGAUUUCUGUUGAUAACGGCCGGUCCGCACUAUGUGCGUGUAUCAGGUUCGGUGUCGGCAUCCUCGUGGGGAUCGUUUCUGUGCUUGAUUGCAUGGGGCGGAAUUCACGACUUUACUUUGAGGAAAUUUAGAGUGUUCACGGCAAGCUAUCGCUUUGAAUACAUUAGCAUGGAAUAAUGAUAUAGGGCGUAAGUUCUAUUUUGUUGGUUUCUAUGGACGUACGCAAUGAUUAAUAGGGAUAAUUGGGGGGCAUUACGUAUUAAGCGCGGUCAGAGGUGGAAUUCUUAGAUUGCGU
rnacentral:rRNA from 1 species